rnacentral:rRNA from 1 species
CAUGCAAGUCGAGCGGUAGCACAGGAGAGCUUGCUCUCCGGGUGACGAGCGGCGGACGGGUGAGUAAUGUCUGGGAAACUGCCUGAUGGAGGGGGAUAACUACUGGAAACGGUAGCUAAUACCGCAUAACGUCUUCGGACCAAAGAGGGGGACCUUCGGGCCUCUUGCCAUCAGAUGUGCCCAGAUGGGAUUAGCUAGUAGGUGGGGUAAUGGCUCACCUAGGCGACGAUCCCUAGCUGGUCUGAGAGGAUGACCAGCCACACUGGAACUGAGACACGGUCCAGACUCCUACGGGAGGCAGCAGUGGGGAAUAUUGCACAAUGGGCGCAAGCCUGAUGCAGCCAUGCCGCGUGUAUGAAGAAGGCCUUCGGGUUGUAAAGUACUUUCAGCGAGGAGGAAGGCAUUGUGGUUAAUAACCGCAGUGAUUGACGUUACUCGCAGAAGAAGCACCGGCUAACUCCGUGCCAGCAGCCGCGGUAAUACGGAGGGUGCAAGCGUUAAUCGGAAUUACUGGGCGUAAAGCGCACGCAGGCGGUUUGUUAAGUCAGAUGUGAAAUCCCCGGGCUCAACCUGGGAACUGCAUUUGAAACUGGCAAGCUUGAGUCUUGUAGAGGGGGGUAGAAUUCCAGGUGUAGCGGUGAAAUGCGUAGAGAUCUGGAGGAAUACCGGUGGCGAAGGCGGCCCCCUGGACAAAGACUGACGCUCAGGUGCGAAAGCGUGGGGAGCAACAGGAUA